GCAAGUCGAACGAAGUAGCAAUACUUAGUGGCAGACGGGUGAGUAACAUGUAGGUAUCUGCCCUUUGGCCUGGAAUAACACGAGGAAACUUGUGCUAAUACCGGAUAAGUCUUUACGGAGAAAGCUUUAUGCACCAUUGGAUGAGCCUGCACUUGAUUAGUUUGUUGGUGGGGUAAAAGCCUACCAAGACUACGAUCUAUAGCUGGUUUGAGAGGAUGAUC
rnacentral:rRNA from 1 species